UACGUAGGGUGCGAGCGUUGUCCGGAAUUACUGGGCGUAAAGAGCUCGUAGGUGGUUUGUCGCGUUGUUCGUGAAAUGCCACAGCUUAACUGUGGGCGUGCGGGCGAUACGGGCAGACUGGAGUACUGCAGGGGAGACUGGAAUUCCUGGUGUAGCGGUGGAAUGCGCAGAUAUCAGGAGGAACACCAGUGGCGAAGGCGGCUAUCUGGACGGUUUCUGACGCUAAGACGCGAAAGCGUGGGGAGCAAACAGG
rnacentral:rRNA from 1 species